AGGGUCUAAUUAUGCAUGAGGAAAAGAUCGCAUUGGUCUCCGAUGCUGCUGCCAGCCCAAGAGAAAUGAUUUGCCACAAUAUGCCAAUUCGGCAAGGAUUCAAAACAACCAAUCUGUGGAUUAUAUGAAAUACAGAUGCUGGAACCAGCCCAAUAAAACUGAUUUUCCACAAUAUGAUAUGAUGCGCCUGUCUAUUUGAGAUGCUCCAACCAGCCCAAGAGAAAUGAUUUGCCACAAUAUGAUAAUUUGUGAAAAUGCCAGGCGUAGCGAACGAAUAUUCCAAAUUGAACAACGGACGAAACCACGAAUCUGCAAGAAUGGUAAUCUCGUUCAAAGACGAAAUUACGGAACGCAGGUAUCUCGGACGAAUUUUCCGAAUGGAGCGACGAUAGUAGCCCCCGAAUCGGCGUGAGUGAUUAUCUCAUUCGUGCAGACAUCUGAAGAUGACUCAAAGCGACUUUUAGUACGAACCCAGAAUGCGUUCAGUGAUUCACUCUUCGUUUCUGAUACAGAAUUGUACAGGAAUAACACCUCAAAUUAUUACCGAGGGCUGAGAUAGUUUUUUUUUUUUUUCAAGUAUUUAUGUAUGUCUAACUGCUAGCAGAAUACCGAGUGCGGCGGUAUUUUUUUUUUUUUUCUCUAAAAAAGCAUCUAUGUAAAACAAGUAUGAAAUUGAUGUCUAACUGCUUGCAGAAGAUGGUUGUUAAAUACGAUUUCGCUGCGCUACUGCACUGUCUAUCGAGACCUACAGCGCUGAAUCCCAUAAUGGUUGUUUGUUUCAGGGGUACUCAAACUUUUGGUGUUGACUCUUAUUUACGGAUCCCAACAAUAAUUUCAUAAAAACAAAAACACACAUUGUUACUCAUCGAUUAAUGGUCCUGAGUAAAUCAAAAUUACUUUAUUCAAUAAAUGCAUUAGCCGUUGUCAAAUUUUAUUAAUGCCGUUAUUGCUUCAUUGGACAAUUCAUAAACUACCCAAGUCAGUGUUUUAUUAAAUAAACGAAAUAGCUCGUGGAGCCCUGGGUCCCAGCGAUUUCUCUACACCCCCUAAAAUUUCAACCCCCUAAUUUUGAGG